rnacentral:sRNA from 1 species
GGGUUACUCCUUGGCGCUUUCGCGCUGGUUUAAUAAAGAUUCGCACCUCUAUCAAACCGGGUAACCCCACCCUUGGCAAGGCCUUACUGUCAGAUCAGAUUGGAACUACUACAAAUAAGUGGAUUUUCCGGUCCGGUUCAGUCACCAGCUUUUGCGCAAAUCGCACAGAUUAGCACUCACAGGCUAGGCUAUACUGUAU